GAAUUUUCCGCGCGGAGCGGAAUUUCUCUUUGUCUUUUCUAAUUAGGUCUACCCAAGAAAUCACAAGACAAAGAAAAAUUCCGUUUCGCGCGCAAACAGUUGCGCCUA